rnacentral:rRNA from 1 species
CCUACGGGUGGCAGCAGUCGAGAAUCAUUCACAAUGGGGGAAAGCCUGAUGGUGCGACGCCGCGUGGGGGAAUGAAGGUCUUCGGUUUGUAAACCCCUGUCAUGUGGGAGCAAAUUCACAAGAUAGUAUCACAAGAGGAAGAGACGGCUAACUCUGUGCCAGCAGCCGCGGUAAUAAAGAGGUCUCACGCGUUGUUCGGAAUCACAGGGGGUAAAGCGUGCGUAGGCUGUUUCGUAAGUCGUGUGUGAAAGGCGCGGGCGCAACCCGCGGACGGCACAGGAAACUGGGAGACUAGAGUAAUGGAGUGGGAACGGGAAUUCUCGGUGGAGCAGUGAAAUGCGUAGAUAGCGAGAGGAACACUCGUGGCGAAGGCGGGUUCCUGGACAUUAACUGACGCUGAGGCACGAAGGCCAGGGGAGCGAAAGGGAUUAGAUACCCUGGUAGUC